UGGGGUGUCGUCUAACGGUAGGACGCCUGUCUCUGGAACAGGUAGUUGGGGUUCGAAUCCCUGCACCCCAGCCA
rnacentral:tRNA from 2 species